GUGAUUUAGGAUUAGUGCCCUUAGUUGUGACAUGCCUCAGGGACUGUUUUCCUUCCACCCUGUACUCUUCCUGCUUCCUCUUCAGCUUUUUAUUAAUAAUGGAUCAAUGAAAUUAAUAUUUGAAUGGAAAUAUCGGAAUUAAGAGUUUCCGAUGUUCCUGCUAAGGGUGCUGGUUUGUUGAUCUACCAUUGUAGUGGAGGAGAACACACUACACACAAAUAUUGGCUGGCCUAGGUGAGUG